rnacentral:rRNA from 1 species
GACGAACGCUGGCGGCGUGCUUAACACAUGCAAGUCGAACGGGCCUUGUCCCCUUUUUUUUUGGGGGUGGGGUUAGUGGCGAACGGGUGAGUAACACGUGAGUAACCUGCCCCUCACUUCUGGAUAACCGCUUGAAAGGGUGGCUAAUACGGGGUGUUCUGGCCUGCUCGCAUGGGUGGGUUUGGAAAGAUUCGACCGGUUUUGGUUGUUUUGGUGGGGGAUGGGCUCGCGGCCUAUCAGCUUGUUGGUGGGGUGAUGGCCUGCCAAGGCUUUGACGGGUGGACGGCCUGAGAGGGUGGGCGGUCACACUGGGACUGAGACACGGCCCAGACUCCUACGGGAGGCAGCAGUGGGGAAUAUUGCACAAUGGGCGCAAGCCUGAUGCAGCGACGCCGCGUGAGGGAUGGAGGCCUUCGGGUUGUGAACCUCUUUCGCCAGUGAAGAAGGUCCUGCUCUUUGUGGUGGGGUUGACGGUAGCUGGGUUAAUGAAGCGCCGGCUAACUACGUG